rnacentral:rRNA from 1 species
AGUGAACGCUGGCGGUAGGCCUAACACAUGCAAGUCGAACGGCAGCACAGUAAGAGCUUGCUCUUACGGGUGGCGAGUGGCGGGCGGGUGAGGAAUACAUCGGAAUCUACUUUUUCGUGGCGGAUAACGUAGGGAAACUUACGCUAAUACCGCAUACGACCUACGGGUGAAAGCAGGGGAUCUUCGGACCUUGCGCGAUUGAAUGAGCCGAUGUCGGAUUAGCUAGUUGGCGGGGUAAAGGCCCACCAAGGCGACGAUCCGUAGCUGGUCUGAGAGGAUGAUCAGCCACACUGGAACUGAGACACGGUCCAGACUCCUACGGGAGGCAGCAGUGGGGAAUAUUGGACAAUGGGCGCAAGCCUGAUCCAGCCAUACCGCGUGGGUGAAGAAGGCCUUCGGGUUGUAAAGCCCUUUUGUUGGGAAAGAAAAGCAGCAGGUUAAUACCCCGCUGUUCUGACGGUACCCAAAGAAUAAGCACCGGCUAACUUCGUG